CCAAUAGCGUAUAUUAAAGUUGUUGCAGUUAAAAAGCUCGUAGUUGAAUUUCGGGGUUAGUAGGUUGGUCAUGCCUCUGGUAUGUACUGGUCUCACUGAUUCCUCCUUCCUGAUGAUCCGUAAUGCCAUUUAUUUGGUGUUGCGGGGAAUUUGGACUGUUACUUUGAAAAAAUUAGAGUGUUUAAAGCAAGCUAACGCUUGAAUACAUUAGCAUGGAAUAAUGAAAUAGGACGUUCGAUCCUAUUUUGUUGGUUUCUAGGAUUGACGUAAUGAUUAAUAGGGAUAGUUGGGGGCAUUAGUAUUCAAUUGUCAGAGGUGAAAUUCUUGGAUUUAUUGAAGACUAACUACUGCGAAAGCAUUUGCCAAGGAUGUUUUCAUUAAUCAAGAACGAAAGUUAGGGGAUCGAAGACGAUCAGAUGCCGUCGUAGUCUUAACCAUAAACUAUGCCGACUAGGGAUCGGAUGAUGUUAAUUUUUUAAUGACUCAUUCGGCGCCUUACG
rnacentral:rRNA from 1 species